ensembl:snRNA U6 U6 spliceosomal RNA
GUGCUUGCUUCGGCAGCACAUAUACUAAAAUUGGAAUGAUACAGAGAAGAUUAGCGUGGCCCCUGUGCAAGGAUGAC